rnacentral:lncRNA from 1 species
GGAUUGGGAUAUUCCGACUCCUUAAGGGCCUGGCGCACAUAAGGUGUGACCUUUUCAUUCCCGUUGUUAUGGAGGUAGGCUCUCUAGGAAUCUGGGAGUAGUAGCUGGGGGGCAAGAGCAAAUAAAGAGCUCGAGCUUCUGUGGUCUCUGGGGAGAUGUUCCCGGGAAGCCUGUCUAGAGGGCGGAGGGCAGCUGUUGAGAUGGCGUGGCUCCCCGGCUCCUGCGCCCGCGUGGCUUUCGCGGCGGGCGCUGCGGCCCGGUAUUGGACAGCCUGGCAGGGCAGCGCGGGGCCGAAUCCGGCUGCCGUGGCUGAGGCUCAUGGAUCACUCUUUUGUGGUAGGGCCACAUCUGCCAGAGCCUGGAGUCUGCGAAGGCCGGGACCCGGUUCCCCGGCCCACAGUGGGGGUGUGCAAACCCGAGAGAACUGGGUUGCAAAUUCGUGAAGAAUCAGCAUCAUGUUUGGCAGCUGAGUAUUGGAGCCAGGAGCCUGCCAUGAGGUUUUGAGAACAGAGUGCUGUUUUAGAGCUGGCAGCAGCAUCUCAGCCCAAGAGAAGGCAUGACUCCACAGUUUCUGCAACAACAGAGCCGGGGAAAGGAGGACGCAGCAAGCGCUGAAUAUUAACCAGCAAAGGUAGAUGCUUCAAUAUCGAAACCACCGGGACCCGCAUGUGCAAAGCUACUUAAUGAGGGUGUAAUCAAACACAGUCUACCAGAAGGAAAUUAAUUAGAGUCCGGAGAGCAAGCAGGAAGCAGAACCAGGCUGCUCCCCCUCCUGGCUCUAGAACAUCACUGGCAGCCACUGCUAAGGGAGGGACAAGGCUGGGGGAUGCCAGGCCUCAGCUGGGUGCCAGGGCUCCUGUCCUCUUCCCCGUGACAUUCCGGCUUGCCUUUGGGGGACACC